UACAGGGGGUGCAAACGUUGCUCGGAAUUAUUGGGCGUAAAGAGCGUGUAGGCGGUUUGGUAGGUCCGCUGUGAAAACUCGAGGCUCAACCUCGAGACGCCGGUGGAAACCAUCAGGCUAGAGUCCGGAAGAGGAGAGUGGAAUUCCCGGUGUAGUGGUGAAAUGCGUAGAUAUCGGGAGGAACACCAGUGGCGAAGGCGACUUCCUGGCCUGUUCUUGACGCUGAGGCGCGAAAGCUAGGGGAGCAAACGGG
rnacentral:rRNA from 1 species